rnacentral:rRNA from 1 species
UACAGAGGUCCCGAGCGUUGUUCGGAUUCAUUGGGCGUAAAGGGUGCGUAGGCGGCGGGGCAAGUCUGAUGUGAAAUCCCGGGGCUCAACCCCGGAACUGCAUUGGAUACUGCCUUGCUCGAGUACUGGAGAGGGAACUGGAAUUUACGGUGUAGCAGUGAAAUGCGUAGAGAUCGUAAGGAAGGCCAGUGGCGAAGGCGGCGACCUGGUCCUUGACUGACGCUGAGGCGCGAAAGCGUGGGGAGCAAACAGG